rnacentral:rRNA from 1 species
GACGAACGCUGGCGGCGUGCCUAAUACAUGCAAGUAGGACGCAGUUGCGAACGGGUGAGUAACGCGUAGGUAACUACCUAGUAGAGGGGGAUAACUAUUGGAAACGAUAGCUAAUACCGCAUACUAGUAGAUGGAACUGCGUUGUAUUAGCUAGUAGGUAGGGUACUGGGCUACCUAGGCAACGAUACAUAGCCGGCCUGAGAAGGUGAACGGCCACAAUGGGACUGAGGAACGGCCCAGAAUCCUACGGGAGGCAGCAGUAGGGGAACUUCGGCAAAUGGGGGAACCCUGACCGAGCAACGCCGCCUGAGUGGAGGAGGUUUUCGGAUCGUAAAGCUAUGUUGUGAAGGAAGCGUUACUUAACCAGAAAGGAACGGCUAACUACGUGCCAGCAGCCGCGGUAAUAC